UGCAAGUCGAACGAAGUAGCUUGCUAUUUAGUGGCGAAAGGGUUAGUAAUACAUGAGUAACGUACCUCUUUCCUGGGGAUAACGGUUGGAAACGACCGCUAAUACCGAAUGAGGAGGUCCGGGGUAGCCCGAUACCUUCAAAGUAGGGGACCCUACGGGACCUUACGGAGAGAGAGCGGCUCAUGGGAUAUCAGCUUGUUGGUGUGGUAAAGGCGCACCAAGGCUAAGACGUCUAGGCGGACUGAGAGGUUGACCGCCAACACUGGGACUGAGACACUGCCCAGACUCCUACGGGAGGCUGCAGUCGAGAAUCAUUCGCAAUGGGCGAAAGCCUGACGAUGCGACGCCGUGUGGACGAUGAAGGCCUUCGGGUUGUAAAGUCCUUUCGUCAGGGAACAAGAGAGAGUAACUAAUAUUUACUCAAUUUGAGGGUACCUGGUAAAGAAGCACCGGCUAACUCCGUGCCAGCAGCUGCGGUAAUACGGAGGGUGCAAGCAUUAAUCGGAUUUAUUGGGUGUAAAGAGCGUGUAGGCGGGUAAGUAAGUCAGAUGUGAAAUUUCGGAGCUCAACUUCGAAGCUGCAUUUGAAACUAUUUGUCUUGAGGGUAGACGGAGAAAACGGAAUUCCAAGUGUAGCGGUGAAAUGCGUAGAUAUUUGGAAGAACGCCGGUGGCGAAAGCGGUUUUCUAGUUUAUUCCUGACGCUGAGACGCGAGAGCAAGGGGAGCAAACAGGAUUAGAUACCCUGGUAGUCCUUGCCGUAAACGAUGCAUACUUGGUGUAGUUGGACUCAACCCCGACCGCGCCGUAGCUAACGCGUUAAGUAUGCCACCUGGGGAGUACGCCCGCAAGGGUGAAACUCAAAAGAAUUGACGGGG
rnacentral:rRNA from 1 species